rnacentral:rRNA from 1 species
CCUUCGGGAGCCAUUACAGGUGUUGCAUGGCUGUCGUCAGCUCGUGUCGUGAGAUGUCGGUUAAGUCCGCUAACGAGCGCAACCCUCGCUGUGUGUUAUAUGUGUCACACAGGACUGCUGGUAUUAAGCCGGAGGAAGGUGGGACGACGUCAAGUCAGCAUGACCUUUAUAUCCAGGGCUACACACACGCUACAAUGGUCAGUACAAUGGGUUGCCAAGCCGCGAGGCGGAGCCAAUCCUGAAAAGCUGGCCUCAGUUCAGAUUGCAGUCUGAAACUCGACUGCAUGAAGUCGGAGUUGCUAGUAAACGCAGGUCAGCUAUACUGCGUUGAAUACGUUCCCGGGGCUU